rnacentral:tRNA from 1 species
GCAUUAGUAGUUUAGUGGUAAAAUAGGCGCUUGCCAUUACAUGACACAGUGUGCGCCUGCCGGGAGUUCGAUUCUCUCCUAAUGCA